GUUAGGAAUAUUGGACAAUGGGCGCAAGCCUGAUCCAGCCAUGCCGCGUGAGUGAUGAAGGCCUUCGGGUUGUAAAGCUCUUUAGCCGAUGAUUAUAAUGACUGUAGUCGGAAAAUAAGCCCCGGCUAACUUCGUGCCAGCAGCCGCGGUAAUACGAAGGGGGCGAGCGUUAUUCGGAAUCACUGGGCGUAAAGCGUGCGUAGGCGGCUUUGCAAGUUGGGAGUGAAAGCCCAGGGCUCAACCCUGGAAUUGCUCUCAAAACUGCAAGGCUCGAAUUCGGGAGAGGAUAGCGGAAUUGUCAGUGUAGCAGUGAAAUGCGUAGAUAUUGACAGGAACACCAGUGGCGUAAGCGGCUAUCUGGACCGAUAUUAACGCUGAGGCACGAAAGCGUGGGGAUCAAACAGGAUUAGAAACCCCAGUAGUCC
rnacentral:rRNA from 1 species